rnacentral:lncRNA from 1 species
CGUUUUAAAUAAAAUUGAAGUCCGGCUGAUCCUUGGUUGUUUAAAUAUAAUAUACUCUUUAUGUACAUCAGAUGGUUAGGUAUUAGCAAGAUAAAAGAGAAUGCAUAUAUAAAAAAAAAUGUUUUUUUAUAUGGUAUGCCAACUGAAUGAGGACUCGAUCACCGUGCCCAUUUUAAUGCCUCAUCCAAUUUUCUAUUGAUAGAUUAUUUUCCAUCUGGGUUCGGCUAGAAGCUGUGUCGAGAGAUGGUUGGCUAGCGUGGUUUGGAGUCCUUGAAAAACAAAUGUUAAGUCCAUAACAAACAAUAAAUCAAUAAUACUAAAUAAAGUAAUUUACA